UACGUAGGGGGCUAGCGUUGUCCGGAAUCAUUGGGCGUAAAGCGCGUGUAGGCGGUCCGGUAAGUCCGCUGUGAAAGUCGGGGGCUCAACCCUCGGAUGCCGGUGGAUACUGUCGGGCUUGAGUACGGAAGAGGCGAGUGGAAUUCCUGGUGUAGCGGUGAAAUGCGUAGAUAUCUGGAAGAACACCCGUGGCUAAGGCGGCUCUCUAGUACGGUACUGACGCUGAGACGCGAAAGCGUGGGGAGCGAACAGG
rnacentral:rRNA from 1 species